rnacentral:rRNA from 1 species
AUUGAACGCUGGCGGCAGGCCUAACACAUGCAAGUCGAGCGGGGUUUUCGGACCUAGCGGCGGACGGGUGAGUAAUGCGUAGGAAGCUACCCGAUAGAGGGGGAUACCAGUUGGAAACGACUGUUAAUACCGCAUAAUGUCUACGGACCAAAGUGUGGGACCUUCGGGCCACAUGCUAUCGGGUGCGCCUACGUGGGAUUAGCUAGUUGGUGAGGUAAUGGCUCACCAAGGCGACCAUCCCUAGCUGGUUUGAGAGGAUGAUCAGCCACACUGGAACUGAGACACGGUCCAGACUCCUACGGGAGGCAGCAGUGGGGAAUAUUGGACAAUGGGCGCAAGCCUGAUCCAGCCAUGCCGCGUGUGUGAAGAAGGCCUUCGGGUUGUAAAGCACUUUCAGUAGGGAGGAAGCGUUGUGUGUUAAUAGUACACAGCGUUGACGUUACCUGCAGAAGAAGCACCGGCUAACUCUGUGCCAGCAGCCGCCGUAACAC